rnacentral:tRNA from 1 species
GCCCUUGUAGUUUAAUGGAUAAAAUUUCUGAUUCCGGUUCAGAUGAUGGCAGUUCGAUUCUGCCCAAGGGUA